rnacentral:rRNA from 1 species
UACGUAGGAUGCAAGCGUUGUUCGGAAUCACUGGGCGUAAAGCGCGUGUAGGCGGCUUGGUAAGUCGGGUGUGAAAGCCCGGAGCUCAACUCCGGUACUGCAUUCGAAACUACCUCGCUCGAGUCCCGGAGAGGGAGGUGGAAUUCCCGGUGUAGAGGUGUAAUUCGUAGAUAUCGGGAGGAACACCAGUGGCGAAGGCGGCCACCUGUACGGUGACUGACGCUGAGACGCGAAAGCGUGGGGAGCAAACAGG